AACAGGAUGUGUGGAGGAGUGGAACGCAAACUGCCAAAUAAAUCUAGCUGUAUUACAGAUGAAUCACAUGAUCACACUAAAGGACAUGAGGAAGAAAGGAGCUGACUUAAGUAACUUUGGCGCAGUGGCCAGAGCUCCAGCAACCAUCUUGGACAAUGAAAAAACCUUCACAAUGAUAGCCAUGGCGAAACACAGUGGAGUAGGAAGAUAAAAGAGACUGAGAACCGGAUA
rnacentral:lncRNA from 10 species